GAAUGGUCUUGGCAUGGACGUUGAAAUCCCCCAGCAGUAUUAGCCAUUGGGAUUCCAACACCAGGCCUGAGAUCACUCUGACUAGCUAAGGCAGGGAGACUACACCAACAUAUCAUAUCAUCUUCUCUUCUUAUCUUAUCUGAGGAACUGUUUUGGUGUUGUGCCUGUAAUAUUUCCACAGAGCUUGCCCUGACCAGGUGUUCUGGAUGCAAGCCAAGCUGUUCAGCCGGUGAAUAUGUGGCUUCAACAACAUCCUGCCAUGUACGGGAGUUUGUUUUCUGCUGCACACAAUCAGAUGAUACUGCAAAACCAAGUAAUGGGAGAAAGCAGUGCUUAGGAAAGUGCAAGUAUAACUGCGAUGAAGAUGAAUAUGUGGCUUCAAAGGCAACAUGCCAUCCUCAUGGAAUGGUUUACUGCUGCAAAAGAGAAGGAGAUGUGCCAUCAUAAUAUAGGAGCAAUUCCUUUGCAAAAGACAGAUGCUUCUUCAGCAACAAGUUGCAGCUUUUGUGAGAAGUGAUUCCGAAGAAGCUUUGAGCUGCCAAAAAGCCCUCCAUGAAUGAAACAUCUUUUUAAAAUGCUGUGAUAUCUUGCUGCUAAUAAAACCAAACCUGUUGAAAUAAAACCAAACUUC
rnacentral:lncRNA from 11 species